GAGUUUCAUCCUGGCUCAGAUUGAACGCUGGCGGCAUGCCUAACACAUGCAAGUCGAACGGUUUUGGAGCUUGCUCCAAGAUAGUGGCGGACGGGUGAGUAACGCGUAGGAAUCUGCCUUGUAGAGGGGGACAACCCGGGGAAACUCGGGCUAAUACCGCAUAAUAAUCGAAAGAUGAAAGGGUGGGACCUUAGGGCCACUCGCUAUAAGAUGAGCCUGCGUUGGAUUAGCUAGUUGGUGGGGUAAAGGCCUACCAAGGCGACGAUCCAUAACUGGUCUGAGAGGAUGACCAGUCACACUGGGACUGAGACACGGCCCAGACUCCUACGGGAGGCAGCAGUGGGGAAUAUUGGACAAUGGGGGCAACCCUGAUCCAGCAAUGCCGCGUGUGUGAAGAAGGCCUGCGGGUUGUAAAGCACUUUUAGCGAUGAGGAAGGGGUUAGGUCGAAUAGGCUUAGCUUUUGACGUUAGUCGCAGAAAAAGCACCGGCUAACUCUGUGCCAGCAGCCGCGGUAAUACAGAGGGUGCAAGCGUUAAUCGGAAUGACUGGGCGUAAAGGGUGCGUAGGUGGCGUUAUAAGUCAGUUGUGAAAUCCCCGGGCUUAACCUGGGAACUGNCAUUGAUACUGUGAGGCUAGAGUUUGGGAGAGGAUAGUGGAAUUUCCGGUGUAGCGGUGAAAUGCGUAGAUAUCGGAAGGAACACCAGUGGCGAAGGCGACUAUCUGGCCCAAAACUGACACUGAGGCACGAAAGCGUGGGUAGCGAACAGGAUUAGAUACCCUGGUAGUCCACGCUGUAAACGAUGAGAACUAGGUGAAGGAUAGGUUAACCUUAUUUUGUACCGAAGCUAACGCGUUAAGUUCUCCGCCCUGGGGAGUACGGUCGCAAGAUUAAAACUCAAAGAAAUUGACGGGGGACCCGCACAAGCGGUGGAGCAUGUGGUUUAAUUCGAUGCAACGCGAAGAACCUUACCUACCCUUGACAUGUAUAGAAUCCAGAAGAGAUUUUGGAGUGCCCGCAAGGGAGCUAUAACACAGGUGCUGCAUGGCUGUCGUCAGCUCGUGUCGUGAGAUGUUGGGUUAAAUCCCGCAACGAGCGCAACCCUUGCCAAUAAUUGCCAUCAUUCAGUUGGGCACUUUAUUGGGACUGCCGGUGAUAAACCGGAGGAAGGUGGGGAUGACGUCAAGUCCUCAUGGCCCUUAUGGGUAGGGCUUCACACGUAAUACAAUGGUCGGUACAGAGGGUUGCCAAGCAGCGAUGCGGAGCCAAUCCCAGAAAGCCGAUCGUAGUCCGGAUUGUUCUCUGCAACUCGAGAGCAUGAAGUCGGAAUCGCUAGUAAUCGCGGAUCAGCAUGUCGCGGUGAAUACGUUCCCGGGUCUUGUACACACCGCCCGUCACACCAUGGGAGUGGAAUCUGCCAGAAGUAGGUAGCCUAACCGCAAGGGGGCAGUCGACCACGGUAGGGUCAGCGACUGGGGUGAAGUCGUAACAAGGUAACCGUA
rnacentral:rRNA from 1 species